rnacentral:lncRNA from 1 species
GCUCCCCCCGCGCAGGGCUGCUGCCGCCGCCGCUUGUCUUUUGUGCAAAGGCAGCAAAAGCGUUUCUUUAAAAUGUCAGACCGCCCGUCUCACUGUUUCUCAUCUCUAAACACGAUGCUUUGUCAAACAUUUUUUUGUCGAGUGGAGCUAAGGAUCCUUUAUUCUGUCUUUUUUUUGAUAUGGAAAGUAAACAAGUUACUGCGAAGGCAUCCUUCUAGCGCGGCUGGAUUUUAGUAUGCAGCGAGGCUGGGCCUCCUUUCCUUCCCAGCCAUUAUCUGAACCCACACGAGCACUUAGCAUUCAGGAAGUAUGUGCGUGGUGCCCACUGUACAUAUGGAAUUAGAUUAUUAUAGAUGGUGAUGAAAGAAAUAUACUGCCUGUGAUGUUAUUAGCAGGGAUUAGAUCACUUAUUUUACAGAAUAUGAUACAGAAACUGCUUUUGCUUCUAGAAAUGAAGGUUGUUUCCUGUUUGCUUUUCUGGUGCGUGACCUCUUCGCAGGGCACCGCUUUGUUACUUCACCAUAGGAUUCGGGGGCGUGCAAAGGGCUUCUUGUCUUCUCACGGGACUUUCCACUGCCCUUCCCAGUGCAGUUACAGCAAAACGGCAAAAUGGCCCCAGCUCUGGGCACGGCGAGAGGUGAGCGGCGUGCUGAGGAGCAGCAGCAGCCCUGGGGCUCCUUCCCCGUCCCCUGUUGUGCUUUCUUCCCGGCGAGGUCUGAAGGUCCGGGUCACCUGUACGGGCUUUGAGGUACAGAAGAAAGCAGGAGGGAAUGGAGGGUAAAUAGGAAAGUACAGCAUUCAUUUCAGCAAAAGCUUUGGUUGGGUCCCAGGUGAAACCAGAAAUUUGCAUUUAAAUGAAUAUGUAUUUGGAGACAUUAAACCCACAGGCGAAAAAAAAGGCCUUGUGGAGAUGACAAACGCAUCACUUCUUGUGCUUGCUCCUGAUAUUAUGCCAACCAGCCCUUGGAAGUAAAACCACACGUCAGCUGAAGUAGUUUUUCUUCCUUUUCAUUUCUGAAAACCACAGCCAUUUGUAAACACUUCACUCCUUGUGCGGAGCUGUGCUAUGAAAACUUCAGGUGAUAGAAGUAUUGGCAGGUGUGUGGGGUCUGCAUGUGAUGUGCAAGAGAAUGAUCCUGGGACUGUUCUGCGGUUCCAGGUCAGCUUCUCCUGGAUCCUAAA